rnacentral:rRNA from 1 species
GACGAACGCUGGCGGCGUGCUUAACACAUGCAAGUCGAACGGAAAGGCCCUGCUUUUGUGGGGUGCCCGAGUGGCGAACGGGUGAGUAACACGUGAGUAACCUGCCCUGGACUUUGGGAUAACUUCAGGAAACUGGGGCUACUACCUGAUAGGAGCGCCUGCUGCAUGGUGGUGUUCGGAAAUUUUCGGCGGUUGGGGAUGGACUCGCGGGUUAUCAGCUUGUUGGUGGAGUAGUGGCUUACCAAGGCUUUGACGGAUAGCCGGCCUGAGAGGGUGACCGACGACAUUAGAACUAAGGUACGGCCCAGACUCGUACGGGGGGCAACAGUCGAGAGUAUUGCACAAUGGGGCGAAGCCUGAGGCAGCAACUUCGCGUGCGGAAAGACGGCCUAAGGGUUGUAAACCGCAUUAACCUGAGACGAAGCGGUAGUGACGUUAAUGGGUAAAGAAGCACCGGCUAACUACGUG